UCAAGAAGACCUGUGGGGAAACAAAACGGCUCCAGGCAGUGCUCUCUUACCUCCAGGUUAUUCCAUUAGCCCUAGACUAGCAGCAGAGAGGUUAUUUUGUCUACCUUGAGACAUGGAUUGACGUGCCUCGAGAGAUGUGCUGCAGGAGAGAAGUUUGAGAUUACUUACCUCUGACUGUUUCUGUGAUAAAGUGCUGCAGAAUCAGGGUAGCCACUGACUAAAAAACAUGGUAAUUCCAGAGACCUGCUGGACAGUUGUAAAAAUAUCCACAUGGUUAUCUGUGUCUGAAGAGGGCCAACUGACUUUAUAAGGAAGGCACUGAAUUAAAAGCUGCUGGUAACCAAAUCCGCUUGCUACCUACAUAGAAGACAUACAGACAUGCACAGACACUUGUUCUGCCUUGAAGGGUAAACACAAGGCUCCCAUCUGGAAGCUGCAAAUCUUAAAACCGGAGGUUGUGACACCGGUGUUUGACUUAGCACAGCAAUUGGAACUCAGAUCUGCUUGAGCUUGGCGCCAGAACCAAGGCAGUGUUGUGUCUUGGAGCAAAAGUGAUGUCAAGAUAGGUGUCCUAGCUCUGCCUGUGGAUGAGGUUGAUCUCCCUUUUCCAGGUGUGCGUAGCGAACCUUGGCGGCGCAGCGCCGGGCCGGGAGCGAGCACUCCUGACCUUUAUCGGAGCAGAAAGCUGCUGACAUCGGGCACCUCCGAGCCGGCGAGAUGCCCUCUUGCACCUACUUCUGGCGCCGCUGGAAGGGGGAGGCGGUGCGGACCGAGGUGUCAUCCCAGCCCCGGCUCUGCAGGAUGAUGGCAAGGAGCUGCAGUUUCCCCUCCCCUUCAGGUCUGCUUCAGCUCUUCAGCGCCUUUUGGAAGGAUUUGCCUGCAUUUGUUUAAACAGCGGCUCUCCUAAGGGAACUCCAGCUGGGGAGGAGCAAAGGCGCCGGCAUCACCUGUCUCCAGGCUCCCGGCCUGGAUGUGACAAGCAUUUCUAUACCUCUCCGGUGGCUACAUUGCUAAAAGCUUUAAGACUGAUAGAUAAAGCUAUGUUCUGCCACCACAUUUUAUAGCACAUAUUACAUAUAUGGAUUUGUAUUGCGGACGGGAUCAUGGUGGAGAUGAUUUAAUGAACAAAAUACUGUGGUAAGGUGC